UACGUAGGUGGCAAGCGUUGUCCGGAUUUACUGGGCGUAAAGAGCGCGCAGGCGGUCGUUCAAGUCGCGUGUGAAAGCCCCCGGCUCAACUGGGGAGGGUCACACGAUACUGAUCGACUCGAAGGCAGGAGAGGGUAGUGGAAUUCCCGGUGUAGUGGUGAAAUGCGUAGAGAUGUGGAGGAAUACCGAUGGCGAAGGCAGCCCCCUGGGCCAAUACUGACGCUCAUGCACGAAAGCGUGGGGAGCAAACAGG
rnacentral:rRNA from 1 species